rnacentral:tRNA from 1 species
GUGCCUGUAGCUCAGUGAUGGAGCACUUGCCUAGCAUGCUAGGCCCUGGGUUCUAUCCCCAGCAUCACA